CGCACGGGUGAGUAACACGUAUCCAACCUGCCGUCUACUCUUGGACAGCCUUCUGAAAGGAAGAUUAAUACAAGAUGGCAUCAUGAGUCCGCAUGUUCACAUGAUUAAAGGUAUUCCGGUAGACGAUGGGGAUGCGUUCCAUUAGAUAGUAGGCGGGGUAACGGCCCACCUAGUCUUCGAUGGAUAGGGGUCCUGAGAGGAAGGUCCCCCACAUUGGAACUGAGACACGGUCCAA
rnacentral:rRNA from 1 species